AGUGAACGCUGGCGGUAGGCCUAACACAUGCAAGUCGAACGGCAGCACAGUAAGAGCUUGCUCUUACGGGUGGCGAGUGGCGGACGGGUGAGGAAUACAUCGGAAUCUACUUUUUCGUGGGGGAUAACGUAGGGAAACUUACGCUAAUACCGCAUACGACCUAAGGGUGAAAGCAGGGGAUCUUCGGACCUUGCGCGAUUGAAUGAGCCGAUGUCGGAUUAGCUAGUUGGCGGGGUAAAGGCCCACCAAGGCGACGAUCCGUAGCUGGUCUGAGAGGAUGAUCAGCCACACUGGAACUGAGACACGGUCCAGACUCCUACGGGAGGCAGCAGUGGGGAAUAUUGGACAAUGGGCGCAAGCCUGAUCCAGCCAUACCGCGUGGGUGAAGAAGGCCUUCGGGUUGUAAAGCCCUUUUGUUGGGAAAGAAAAGCAGCAGGUUAAUACCCCGCUGUUCUGACGGUACCCAAAGAAUAAGCACCGGCUAACUUCGUG
rnacentral:rRNA from 1 species